rnacentral:rRNA from 1 species
UUCGUAGGCGGUGUAGCAAGUCGGGAGUGAAAUCUCUGGGCUUAACCCAGAGGCUGCUUCCGAAACUGCUGUGCUGGAGUGUGGGAGAGGCGCGUGGAAUUGCAGGUGUAGCGGUGAAAUGCGUAGAUAUCUGCAGGAACACCCGUGGCGAAAGCGGCGCGCUGGACCACUACUGACGCUGAGGAACGAAAGCUAGGGGAGCAAACAGGAUUAGAUACCCUGGUAGUCCUAGCCCUAAACGAUCAGGACUUGGGGUGCCGCCCGUUCGGGCGUCGUCCCGGAGCUAACGCGUUAAGUCCUGCACCUGGGGAGUACGGUCGCAAGACUGAA